rnacentral:lncRNA from 1 species
ACUCAGGGCGGAAACGCAGAGCGGACAGAUGCAGCCUAAUGCAGUCUCACAGUAUCUACUUGUCAGCCAGAACCCAGAGGGAAAGUGAGCUCUUUCCACCAUCAUUUCAAAAAGAAUGAAAGCAACAACCAUGGCUGCUGGGGAUUAAAAUUCACAGGAAGGCAAAACUCCCAGAAACAUGACUGUGGUGGAGUUUUAAUGAAACCAGCAGUCACAAACAGUGACUGAUUCCCUACCUGCCCCCGGCAACGCUGUGUGAUCUCGGCUUCGCUACUUGUAGGGAGGCAUUCCACCUUAUUAGAUUUAUAACAGAUUAUCUGUAGAGCAAAGCCUGCAAAGUGAAAGCCAUCAGGACAAACUGGAUUUCAACACUCCCUGUUCAUAGCACAAGCUGAGACGUCAGGCCUGUUUCUUGAUCUUCAAAGAAGACACAGGGACCCUCUGCCCUCGGCAUGCUCGGAAAAUGCUGGAACCACAAGGGAAGAUGGCCAUUUCACUCUUCUUCACUCCUGCCCCACAUCCUAGCAUCGUGAAUAGGGGAACAGCCCCAGAGUGGGCAGAUGCCGCGCCCGCAUAAAGCGGCAGGGGCCAGGAGGAAAGGGCGGCAGAAUGGACGCCACGGACGGUAAGCUGCCGCCCAUGGAUGGGAACACCAGGUGCAGACCAGCUGGGGUAGGGCCACGGCAUCCAU